AAGUCGUAACAAGGUUUCCGUAGGUGAACCUGCGGAAGGAUCAUUAUCGUAUAUCCACGUACUAACCAUUGUGAACCGUUUUUAACCUUUUGUCGAGAGUGAGGUAGUGGGAGAUAGAGCUGCUUGUUUAAUGAUUUAGAGCAAUUAAGCUUUACCUCUCCAUGGAACUGUCUUCGGAUGGUACAUACUCGUUCACUUCAAACUGUAUUUAAAUCAUUGUUAAAACAAUUCUAACCACUUUGAACAUUGACUUAUCUUUUUCAUACUCUUAACGGAGAUGAAAUUCAUUACGAAACAAAGAACAACUCUUAGCAACGGAUAUCUUGGUUCUCGUAACGAUGAAGACGCAGC
rnacentral:misc_RNA from 1 species